rnacentral:lncRNA from 1 species
GGAAACAUGGAAUAAAAUAUGUGUAAACCCUGGUGUAGAAUGCUAAUAAAACCUGAUGUAAACUGUGAGUAAAGAUAGAGAAAACUGUGAGUAAAACCCAAACUAAAGGGUGUGUAAGCCCGGAGUAAAUAGUGAGGAAACCAGGUGUAAAUUGUGAGUAAACACAAAGUAAACAUGAGAGUAAAACCUGGAGCAUAUUGUUAGGAACCCCGGAGUAAAUUGUGAUUUAAUUCCUGAGUAAAGUGAGAGUAAACCCAGAGAAAAGUAUGAAUGAACCUGGAUUGAAAUGUGUGUAAACCCGGAGUAAAGGGUUAGUAAAGCUAGAGUAAAGUGUGAGUAAUACCCUGAGUAAGGUGUGACUAAACCCAAAGUAAAGCGUGAGUAAACCAAGAGUAAAGUGUGCGUAACCAUGAAGUAAAGAGUGAGUAAACCUGGAGUAAAGAGUGAACAAAGCUUGGAGUAAACUGUGAGGAAACAUGGAGUAAAAUAUGUGUAAACCCUGGCGUAGAAUGUGAGCAAAACCUGAUGUAAACUGUGAGUAAAGCUAGAGAAAAGUGUGAGUAAACCCAAAGUAAAGGGUGUGUAAGCCCGGAGUAAAUAGUGCGGAAACCUGGUGUAAAUUGUGAGUAAACCCAAAGUAAACAUAUGAGUUAAACCUGGCAUACAUUGCUAGGAAACCCGGUGUAAAGUGUGAGUAAAGUGAGAGUAAAGUGAGAGUAAACCUAGAGAAAAGUGUGAGUACACCAGGAUUAUAGUGUGAGUAAGCCCGGAAUAAAGGGUUAGUAAAGCUAGAGUAAAGUGUGAGUAAUACCCUGAGUAAGGUGUGACUAAACCCAAAGUAAAGUGUGAGUAAACCCGGAGUAACUUGUGCUUAACCAUGUAGUAAAGAGUGAGUAAACCUGGAGUAAAGAGGGAACAAAGCUUGGAGAAAACUGUGAGGAAACAUGGAAUAAAGUAUGUGUAAACUGUGGUGUAGAAUGUGAGUUAAACCUGAUGUAAAAUGUGAGUAAAGCUAGAGAAAAGUGUGAGUAAAACCAAAGUAAAGCGUAUAUAAGCCCGGAGUAAAUAGUGAGGAAACCUGGUGUAAAUUGUGAGUAAACCCAAAGUAACCUUGAGGGUAAAACCUGGAGCAUCUUGUUAGGAACCCCGGAGUAAAUUGUGAGUAAAGCCCUGAGUAAAGUGAGAGUAAACCCAGAGAAAAGUGUGAGUAAACCUUUGCUACUGCAAAGCCCGUGGGCCCUCGGUGUGCAGGGACACUGCUCUCCCCCCAUCCGCCCAGCCUGUGAUGCCAUCAUAGAAGGCUACCAG